rnacentral:rRNA from 1 species
GACGAACGCUGGCGGCGUGCUUAACACAUGCAAGUCGAACGGUGAACCUCUUCGGAGGGGAUCAGUGGCGAACGGGUGAGUAACACGUGGGCAACCUGCCCCCGGCUCUGGGAUAACUCCAAGAAAUUGGGGCUAAUACCGGAUGUUCACCGCUUCCCGCAUGGGUGGUGGUGGAAAGGGUUUCCGGCUGGGGAUGGGCCCGCGGCCUAUCAGCUUGCUGGUGGGGUAGUGGCCUACCAAGGCGACGACGGGUAGCCGGCCUGAGAGGGUGACCGGCCACACUGGGACUGAGACACGGCCCAGACUCCUACGGGAGGCAGCAGUGGGGAAUAUUGCGCAAUGGGCGGAAGCCUGACGCAGCGACGCCGCGUGGGGGAUGACGGCCUUCGGGUUGUAAACCUCUUUCAGCAGGGACGAAGCGCAAGUGACGGUACCUGCAGAAGAAGCACCGGCCAACUACGUG